rnacentral:sRNA from 1 species
GGGGAGAGUGCAUCGUUUUUUCUUUUAAAGACCUAGUGAUAGGUAUACUUUAUGAGGGGCUUGCGCCAUAUUAGUUAGUUGGUAGGGUAAUGGCCUACCAAGACGAUGAUGUGUAGCUGGACUGAGAGGUUGAACAGCCACAUUGGGACUGAGACACGGCCCAAACUCCUACGGGAGGCAGCAAUAAGGAAUUUUCAGCAAUGGAGGAAACUCUGACCGAGCAACGCCGCGUGAACGACGAAAUACUUUGGUAUGUAAAGUUCUUUUAUCAAGGAAGAAAAGCAAGUGGUGAACCAUUUGUUUGCCGGUACUUGAUAAAUAGGCCCCGGCUAAUUAUGUGCCAGCAGCCGCGGUAAGACAUAAGGGGCAAGUGUUAUCCGGAAUUAUUGGGCGUAAAGGGUGCGUAAGCGGUCUAGUAAGUCAGUGGUGUAAUGGCAACGCUCAACGUUGUCCGGCUAUUGAAACUGCUAAACUUGAGUUAGAUAGAGGCGAGUGGAAUUCCAUGUGUAGCGGUAAAAUGCGUAAAUAUAUGGAGGAACACCAAAGGCGUAGGCGGCUCGCUGGGUCUUAACUGACGCUGAGGCACGAAAGCGUGGGGAGCAAACAGGAUUAGAUACCCUGGUAGUCCACGCCGUAAACGAUGAGUACUAAGUGUCGGGUUAGACCGGUACUGAAGUUAACGCAUUAAGUACUCCGCCUGAGUAGUACGUACUCAAGUAUGAAACUUAAAGGAAUUGACGGGACUCGCCAGGGGGGGAGAAAAAGUGGUUAAAUUCAAAAACCCCAAAAACCUUCCCAGGCUUGACUUUUUUUGCAAACGGUAGAAUAUCGGGAAGGUUUCAAAACCCAGGGGUGCAUGGUUGCCUCAGCUCGGGCCUGAAAGUUAGGUUAAUCCUAAACGAGCGAACCUUAUCGUAGUGCCACACGUAUGGUGGGACUUUACGAGCUGCAGUGAUAAUUGGAGGAAGUGAGGAUCAGUCAAUCACAUGCCCUUUGACUGGGUACAACGUGAUACAAUGCUGUACAAAGGUACUGAACGAAUUCUUGGCAUCCCAAAAAGUUCAUCCGAUGAAUCGCACUCACUCUGAAUGGAUCUAUAUCCACACAUCCGGACUCUGGUGUCCCCCCCUAGCACACCCACCUCAUACCGACUGGG